AGCCAUGCAAUGAGCACAAAGCGAACUAUUCUUUCGCCUUUUACUAAAGAAUACCGUGCGCUCGUUGCUUUAAAAUGACAUACGCUUAUUUUUGUAGAGCUCUUUCUUCUUGAAAGACU
rfam:Helianthus annuus linkage group 9, whole genome shotgun sequence.